UGUCCCGAGUGUGGAGUUAUACUCUCCGGGUCUGUCUGAAGGCGAUUCGGACUGGACCGAGCCGGUUCCGGUGCUGUGUUUGGUGAGAGACACGUCUCCGGAGCGGCACCAAGUCCUCUGGACUAUCGGCGCCGAGGCAGCCGCGCCGGGCAGCGCGGAGGAGGGAGAGAUUGAACCCGACGGGUCCUAUAGCGUGCGCAGCUACGUCACAAUCAGCGCGGAUCAAUGGAACAGCGGCGCUGUAAAGUGCGAGGUUUACAACAACAUCACCAACGUCACAGAAAAAGUCUCCGCGUCACUCCGAAGGCAAGAUUGCGUUCCUGUGUUGUUUUACGGACUGCCCGCCGUUUUCCUGCUAAUUCUGGUCGUGGUGUCUGUGGCGUGUGUUUACAGAAGACUUCAUAAAACUAAAACCGAUCACAAGUCCAGCGACGCACCCUGCCGUCCUCAGCGCCCCGCCCGACACAGAACAGUCCAGGACUACUCGACGGAGUACGCAUCGCUCAAUCUGUGAUGGGCUCCACAAAGCACCGCGCUCAUCUUUAAAUGCAGCCGUGGACAGAGAGAGAAAGAGAGAGAGAGCUGUAUACUCUUUCAAUUCGAAGUCCAAUUCACUGUCUAUUUACAUAGUAGUUAGUAAACACAUGUGUAACACAAUUACAAUGUUAUGAUGCAUUGUUACAAUGCACUUACUGUGGAAAUCCCUGUGCUCGAUAUAACCCUAUCCCUAACACUAACCCUAAUCGUUUGCUGAUACAGCUGUGUACUUGCAUAUAUUGUGCAAAAAUAAUUUGUAACUAUGCAUAAUACCACUGUAAUGAUGAUAUUUACCAAAUACACUGUAAUGAGAGACACCAUGAAAAGUGUUACCUUUUUUUUUUUUUUUGAAACAGCCAGACUCAAAUUCCAGCCUGUCAUGGUGUACGCCUACCAGGAAUCUGUUUCUUUGUAUUAUUUUAAGAACGUCUCUUGUAUAUUAUUUUGAUAUCAUAUAAAACCCAUAUGUUGCUGUAAUUCUAA